UACGAAGGGGGCUAGCGUUGUUCGGAAUUACUGGGCGUAAAGCGCGUGUAGGCGGACCGGCAAGUCAGGCGUGAAAUCCCCAGGCUCAACCUGGGAACUGCGUUUGAAACUGCCGGUCUUGAGUAUCGGAGAGGGUGGCGGAAUUCCUGGUGUAGAGGUGAAAUUCGUAGAUAUCAGGAGGAACACCGGUGGCGAAGGCGGCCACCUGGACGAUUACUGACGCUGAGACGCGAAAGCGUGGGGAGCAAACAGG
rnacentral:rRNA from 1 species